CGCCCGACGGGGUGCAGCAGGCGCGAAACCUUUACACUGCACGCACGUGCGAUAAGGGGACUCCGAGUGCGAGGGCAUAUCGUCCUCGCUUUUGUGUACCGUAGGGUGGUACACGAACAAGGGCUGGGCAAGACCGGUGCCAGCCGCCGCGGUAAUACCGGCAGCCCGAGUGAUGGCCGAUCUUAUUGGGCCUAAAGCGUCCGUAGCUGGGUCUGAAAGUCCAUCGGGAAAUCCACUCGCUCAACGAGUGGCCGUCCGGUGGAAACUCCACACCUUGGGACCGGAAGGCUCGAAGGGUACGGCCGGGGUAGGAGUGAAAUCCUGUAAUCCCGUCCGGACCACCGAUGGCGAAAGCACUUCGAGAAAACGGAUCCGACAGUGAGGGACGAAAGCUAAGAUCGCGAACCGGAUUAGAUACCCGGGUAGUCUUAGCCGUAAACAAUGUUCGUUAGGUAUGACACAGACUACGUGUCUGUGUUGUGCCGUAGGAAGCCGAGAAACGAAC
rnacentral:rRNA from 1 species